ensembl:lncRNA
CAGGGGAGCCUGCCAUGCCUGGGCCACCAGGGCCUGCCUGCCUGCCGACAACAACAGUGAACAAGCUGUUUCCAGGCAGCGCACAAGUAAACAACUAGAGCCAAGACAGAGCGCCUGCAAUAUGUUCUCUCUCAUUAGCUUCCCCUUCUCUUUCCCACAGACUACUGUCAGCCCUACAACUCCCCAUACACUAGCAGCUAUCCUGUUUCUCUCAUGGCUUAUACGCUUCUGUCCAGACAUUUUCUUUACCUAACUUUACUAGGUUUGCUUUUGUUGUCUACUACCGAACAUGGCCUUCAUUAUGAACUUUAUGUGAAAACAUUUCUGGGGAAAUUGGUGAGGUAUAAUCUUUAUUUAGACUGUACCUUUGAUACCUUGUAGAAAGCCUCCUUUGUCCUUUGUGGUGCUGUCUUUUCUGGUUUUGGAUGUUGUCUUCCUUUGUUGUGUUAUUGUUCUAUUAUUGGGUUAGAGGAGAGCAAAGACCAACUCUGACAUGUUUAAAGUGGACUUUGGGUCGAGGACAAUGCGUUGGACCCGACAGACAACUCAACUUGUCAGAUUUAUGGGAGAAUUAAUUGAUGCCACAUCAUUACUUGGUGAUCCUUCCCGAAUUGUAAUAAUGUCCCCAGACAUUUCUCUAUGAGAAGGCUUGAGGACCAUCCCAUUGAGGGGUUCUCUCUUCUAUAGGACAGAGCUGUCUUACAACAACAUGAAUCCCUUUGCUCCCCUCUUCCUGCUUUAUAAUGAAAUGUUGAUUGUUCCAAGUUUUGAUUUAUUUGACAUGGUAUCUGCUCAUCAAAUAGUAGGAAGAUUAAGACAUGGAGUUUUCCAAACAAAAAACAAACAAAAAACAAAUUGCGUUUCAGUUGAGGGUUAGGGCUGACAAUGUUUGCAUGAGCUCCAUGUGAUUCCUCGUCUAUGGCCUGCAAUGUUUGCUGGUGAAAUAACAGCCAGCUCUCUGGUGCGUGUGGUGUUUGCACUUUGACCCAUUUCAGUGGCUCUGGAUCCAGGCAUGGUGUGGAUGUUUGGAAUGGGUUCAGAACCGAGUAGUAUCCACUGCAGGGAGUCCUGUACUGUAGAUCCCUCUGGAUGAGGAGUAAAUUGGUCCUCACCCCUUCCUCUCCCUUUUCCCCAGGGGUUGUCAUAGCAACAGGCAUGUCAUAACAGUUCUCUAAAGUGUCACAAGAAAGAUGGUGGUGUUUCGUUUCAAAGCGUUACACACACACACACACGCACACACACGUACACAGACACUGAGACCUUACACCUUUAGCAACUUAACCAAUAGAGAACAAUCAUUAGAAGGACAAGGUUAUUACCAUUAGAUAGGUUGGAUGUGCUAACUGUCAGCUUCAUCUGGCCAAACUGUGAAGAGAGACCGUAGACCUGUCAGACAUCUACAUUAGGAGGUGACACUAUGUCACUCUGUAUUAUAUGUCACCUCUAUAUUAUAUGUCACUCUGUAUUAUAUGGUGCGAGGUGACACUAUGUCACCUCUGUAUUAUAUGUCACCUCUGUAUUAUAUGGUGCGAGGUGACACUAUGUCACAUCUGUAUUAUAUGGUGCGAGGUGACACUAUGUCACCUCUGUAUUAUAGGGUGCGAGGUGACACCUCUGUAUUAUAUGUCACCUCUGUAUUCUAUGUCACUUCUUUAUUAUAUGUCACCUCUGUAUUCUAUGUCACUUCUUUAUUAUAUGUCACCUCUCUAUUCUAUGUCAGUUUUUUAUUAUAUGUCACCUCUGUAUUCUAUGUCACUUCUUUAUUAUAUGUCACCUCUGUAUUCUAUGUCACUUCUUUAUUAUAUGUCACCUCUGUAUUCUAUGUCACUUCUUUAUUAUAU